CUCGUAGGCGGUUUGUCGCGUCUGCUGUGAAAUCCCGAGGCUCAACCUCGGGUCUGCAGUGGGUACGGGCAGACUGGAGUGCGGUAGGGGAGAAUGGAAUUCCUGGUGUAGCGGUGGAAUGCGCAGAUAUCAGGAGGAACACCGAUGGCGAAGGCAGUUCUCUGGGCCGUAACUGACGCUGAGGAGCGAAAGCGGUGGGGAGCGAACGA
rnacentral:rRNA from 1 species